rnacentral:lncRNA from 1 species
GGAAGUCGGGACUACGUACCUGCCCACCGGUACCUGCUAGGCAGGAAGUGGGCGUCCUUAAAGUCGGAGUUUCGCCUGGAGAUUCGGAAUGUGGGCUUUGCACGCACACCCAAAAGGUUAAGUCCCAGCACUGACACAACCUGUGGUUAAUGAUUAUGGAACCAUUUCCAGGGUCGUGGGGAAAAUUAGAUGGCAGCACAAUGGCUGAGACAAGGAAAGCUUCAAACAGUGAUAGCGGUUGAUAGUAAUGGAACCACUCACAGAGACCGGUGGGUGAAUGAUCGAACUGUAUGUUGGACCCAUGGCCUUAUGUCUGAAAUGAGAAGACAUGAUUCAGGUUUUCACUUGUUAUGUGACGUCAGCAAAUGCAGUACCUGGUACCAAGGCUGGUACGCAGGAGGUAGGCUAUUUUUUCUAUGAUUUUUUUCCUCUGUGUGGAUGAGCUGGAUGACCAGAUAGACAGUAGGUUUGGACUGGGGCCAAAUAUACUGACUUUCCCAAAGUGUGGUAAGUGGAACAAAAAAAAAACACAGCAUGCUUUUUCAAGAAUUUUGCUUUUUUUCUUUUGACAUAAAAUUUAGUUAAAACCAGAAAAGAUUAUGUUCUAAUCACUGCAUACAUCAUUUAAGACUAGUUUUUAGAGAGACCAAUCUGACACACUAAGAUUUUUCAACUGACACCCAAGGGUUAGAGUUUGAGAAGUCCAGCUGUUGUGAUCAACUGCCAUGUAUAUUAUUACAUACAGAUGUAUAUGUAUAUAGCUGAAGAACCUUGUAAAAAUACAUGUAGAUAUGUAGAUCUUCUGAUUGAACUGGAGAUAAAAAUCUCAAGUCAUCCUCAUUCCCUUUCCCCUCAGAUCCCUUUUAAUUCCCAUCUACUGACCUUGUCCAGGUUAAAAAAAAAAAAAUCUAAAAUUCUGUGACAACAAAAACACAAACAACAAAGAAAAAAAUUGAACUUCAUCAAAAUUAAAAACUUUUUUACAUCAAAGAACGCUAUCAAUGUUAACCCACAGAAUUGGGGGAAAUAUUUACAAAUUAGAUACCUGAUAAGGGUCUGGUAAUCCAGAAUAUAUAAG